CUGCAGUGGUUCAAAGAAGCUGAGAGGCUGAUGUAUGAAAGAGCAGCACUUAAGGCAAAAAGAUGAAAGCAGCUCUAGUGAACACCAGAACCAUUCUUGUCAAGUAUUUUCUUGGCACCGAUCUAGUCAAAUUCAUGUCCGAGACACACAAAUGCCAAAGGAGUACGCAAGAAAUACUGCCAGGAUAAACAAUAAUAUGUCUGCCUCUCCUUGUACUCUAAAGUAAAUUGGCCUUAAGAGCUAAGUUUCAAAAGACAUGUUAAAACAAUAAAGAAAAAUUUUUUCCAGUUCA